CUGCAGAUUCAUAUUGACACAAUGAGUUUCAAGUGACUACGACACAUUUUUUUCUGCAUCUCAAUUUCUUAACUGUAAAAAUAGGGAAUAUAUGUACCAUGCUUACCAUCCUGAGCUUGGGAAGGAGUUGAAUAUAUAAACAUAUUUUAAGCCAAGAUGUUAAAAGACCCUUAAGUAGAAACAAUGCUCCUCAUCGCUGGUUUUUCCAAGCACCAGUUUCUUGUUCUGCCCUUAAUACACAAACACUCAGGUUAAAUAAAUUCAUCUAUCUGAUAAAUUUGAAACAAGGAAGAGGGCAGGCAUAGCUAGCUCCUCUCUUCCCCUUCCUUUUAAGAAAGUUCAUGUCUGGUUUUUCUCGCGGGUUACAGGAGCAAGUUUCCACACGGGAAGCCGAGCGUCUGUCUGGACUGCUGUGACUUAUGACUUCUGUACUCAUGUGUAACAUGAACUACGUUGGAAAAAAGCAAGGAUUAAGCAUAACAGUUCUGGUUCGGGAGGAUCAGGAAGCUCUGAGGAAGGUUUACAGGCCCUUUCAGCUGUGGCAGCAAACCUCACCCUGACAAGUUUACUGGAGCAGUAUCACCUGGUAUUGAAGCAAUUUACCAGAGAAUCUCUCGAAGCCUCAUCAAUGUUGAUUAUUAUCAGGAGGGCUAAGGUCUCUUGUGCUCCCUCUAGUGGAGAAGCGGUUCAGCCUAAAGGGAGGCUUAUGGGCAGACCUAUAUAG
rnacentral:lncRNA from 13 species